rnacentral:rRNA from 1 species
CCAAUAGCGUAUAUUAAAGUUGUUGCAGUUAAAAAGCUCGUAGUUGAAUUUCGGGGUUCAUACGUUGGUCGGGCUUUUUGGUCUGUACUGGCGUAAUGGAUUCCUACCUUCUGAAUAACCGGCAUGUCAUUAAUUUGGUGCGCCGGGGAAGCAGGACUGUUACCUUGAAAAAAUUAGAGUGCUUAAAGCAGGCUAUUGCCUGAAUACAUUAGCAUGGAAUAAUGAAAUAGGACGGCAUGGUUCUAUUUUGUUGGUUUCUAGGAUCACCGUAAUGAUUAAUAGGGAUAGUUGGGGGCAUUAGUAUUCAAUUGUCAGGGGUGAAAUUCUUGGAUUUAUUGAAGACUAACUUCUGCGAAAGCAUUUGCCAAGGAUGUUUUCAUUAAUCAAGAACGAAAGUUAGGGGAUCGAAGACGAUCAGAUACCGUCGUAGUCUUAACCAUAAACUAUGCCGACUAGGGAUCGGACGAUGUUAAUUUUUUAAUGACUCGUUCGGCGCCUUACG